ensembl:rRNA 5S_rRNA 5S ribosomal RNA
GUUUACAACCAUACCACCCUGUGCAUGCAUGAUCUCGGAAGCUUAGCAGGGUUGGGCUUGGUUAAAACGUGGAUGGGCCUGGGAAUACCAUGUGUUCUAAGUU